GUGGUAAGGCCCAGAGAGCUUUUGGGGUGGCCCGGUAGACGAAUGCAGAAGUUCACUAUCGGAGAAGUCCGGACGGUCGAGGGGGUUUGGAGAGACGCCACACACAAGGUCGGAAGCCGGAAGAGUCCUGGAAGGGUCGGUCUUUUACAAACUUCGACCGGAGGAUAUUUUAUACCCAACAUCUUCUAUCUUAUCAUCAUUUAUGAACUGAUCAUCACCCUCUGAAUC
rnacentral:lncRNA from 1 species